GUGGAUUAGAUACCCUGGUAGUCCUAGCAGUAAACGAUGUGAACUUGGCGUUGGUGGUGUAAAAACCAUCGGUGCCGAAGCUAACGCGAUAAGUUCACCACCUGGGAACUACGGCCGCAAGGUUAAAACUCAAAGGAAUUGACGGGUCCCCGCACAAGCAGCGGAGCGUGUGGUUUAAUUCGAUGUUACACGAAGAACCUUACCCGGGUUUGACAUACAAGUGGUAGUGAAACGAAAGUGGAACGACCCUUCGGGGAGCUUGUACAGGUGCUGCAUGGCUGUCGUCAGCU
rnacentral:rRNA from 1 species